AUUGAACGCUGGCGGCAGGCCUAACACAUGCAAGUCGAACGAGUGGCGGACGGGUGAGUAAUGUCUGGGAAACUGCCCGAUGGAGGGGGAUAACUACUGGAAACGGUAGCUAAUACCGCAUACCAUCGGAUGUGCCCAGGUGUGCAUAGCUAGUAGGUGGGGUAACGGCUCACCUAGGCGACGAUCCCUAACUGGUCUGAGAGGCUGACUAGCCACACUGGAUCUGAGACACGGUCCAGACUCCUACGGGAGGCAGCAGUGGGGAAUAUUGCACAAUGGGCGCAAGCCUUAUGCAGCCAUGCCGCUUGUAUGAAGGAGGCCUUCGGGUUGUAAAGUACUUUCAGCGAGGAGGCGUUACUCGCAGAAGAAGCACCGGCUAGCUCCGUGCCAGCAUCCGCGGUAAUAC
rnacentral:rRNA from 1 species